UAGCCGAUUUUACUACUGCCUCGAAAAUU
rnacentral:sRNA from 1 species